rnacentral:rRNA from 1 species
AUUGAACGCUGGCGGCAGGCCUAACACAUGCAAGUCGAACGAGUGGCGGACGGGUGAGUAAUGUUUGGGAAACUGCCCUAUGGAGGGGGAUAACUACUGGAAACGGUAGCUAAUACCGCAUACCAUCGGAUGUGCCCAGAUGGGAUUAGCUAGUAGGGGGGGUAACGGAUCACCUAGCCGACGCUCCCUAGCUGGUCUGAGAGGAUGACCAGCCACACGGGAACUGAGACACGGUCCAGACUCCGACGGGAGGCAGCAGUGGGGAAUAUUGCACAAUGGGCGCAAGCCUGAUGCAGCCAUGCCGCGUGUAUGAAGAAGGCCUUCGGGUUGUAAAGUAAUUUCAGCGAGGAGGCGUUACUCGCAGAAGAAGCACCGGCUAACUCCGUGCCAGCAGCCGCGGUAAUUC